UACGUAGGGUGCAAGCGUUAAUCGGAAUUACUGGGCGUAAAGCGUGCGCAGGCGGUGAUGUAAGACAGUUGUGAAAUCCCCGGGCUCAACCUGGGAACUGCAUCUGUGACUGCAUCGCUGGAGUACGGUAGAGGGGGAUGGAAUUCCGCGUGUAGCAGUGAAAUGCGUAGAUAUGCGGAGGAACACCGUUGGCGAAGGCAAUCCCCUGGACCUGUACUGACGCUCAUGCACGAAAGCGUGGGGAGCAAACAGG
rnacentral:rRNA from 1 species